rnacentral:tRNA from 1 species
GGCCUCAUAGCUCAGUGGGCUUAAGCGUUUGUUGUACUAAAGCCUUAUCUUGCUGACAUGGCUUUUCUUAAGCCUUUUAAUUUCUGGCGUGGGUUCAAAUCCCACUAAGGCCG